AUAGAUGUUUGCUUAACUGGAAAUCCGCAAGAGCAGCUGCCCAGUGCAACGGUACAUAUUUGCUUCUGAAUCCUUUCUCAAAGGCACUAUUUAAACAUGUUGAUGAACUGAGCUGGAUUUCUCCCCACCUCCAUUCCAGCAAAACAAGGAGACUCAGAAGAUAAAACUUGUUUUGUUAUUGCAAGUAGUGCUAUGUGGUGCAGUGCACUUUGGGGAGACAGGCAAUACAUACUGAAUUACUGCUCCAUAUUCCAUGGUUAUAUAAUCUAGAUGGGAGCCAGCCACUAUUUAGGAUGAGAGAAAACACCUUGGGAGAGCAGUGCACAGGUAAAGGCAGGAGAGAACUGUAAUCCUGCACUGGAGUAUCCUGCAAAGAAAAGGAGCUGAAUUUUUUUCCAGGGCUUGGAAAGCAGCAUGUUAAUGUAUGCUGCAUGUCCUCCGGAAGGAAUCUAGCAUCCAUUGACCUCAGAGUGGCGGUGACCAGGCCGGGAGGAUGCUGUUCUAUUCCCAUAUCGUCAGUGCAGAGCAUGAACCUUUCAUGGAAGAGUAUCCAGACUCUGUUGGAGGUCUCCUUCCAGCCACCUGCCCUCAGAAGACCCCCAGACAAGCAUGAAUUUCCAGGCUCGUUUAACUGGCUCAGGCUGUUAGAAGAAUCAAACAAAAUCUUCACCAUUGGUAGUAUCUGGACAGCAAACACUGUGAUGAAAUGGCUUUCCACAGUUUCUACCCCCGAACCUUUGACUUAAAAUGGUCUGAUCCAUCUCAACAGUAUUUCUGGAUGUACUGGACUAAUAGUUCUGUUUCUUCACUUUCAUGCAUUGCUUUGGGCUUAUUAUACAAAUGUAUAACCUGGGUGCCACAGGUGUGGAGAAAAACUGCAGGCACGUAAAGAUGUAAUCAUGGAAUAACAGCGAGACAUUUUUAAUAGGAUUCAUGCAAUGCUUUAUAAUAGUGUGGCUCAAAAGAAACAAACACCAAAAGUUAUUUUCUUCAUCUGUCUUAACAAAAUUGCAAAUACAUUUGAAUUUGCCAAGAUUUUUUGAUUUAUGGAUGAUAAAUAUGAAACAGGCAAUAGAAGCUGCAAACAGGGCUUGAUCAUCCAUCAAACAGACAAACCUGAUGACCUGAGAAGGCUGCUGAUUUCAUCAGGGUUGUGUUUGUCUGCUUCUCCUAGUUUUCUUUCUUUCUGUGUGCAGUCACUUCUAUUUUCAACCAUUUGUGCAGCCUGUCUUGCAGUUAAAACUGGCAGAAACAGUUUCUGUAAAAUCAGUGAAGGAAUCAACAACGCAGCUCUCACUGACCUCUUUAAUUUAAUUUUGCCAUGUACUUCUGCCUACAGCCUGCAGCAUAAAAUAAAAACAUUUAAAGUUGAUCAGUCUGGGUACGCUCUCACAGCAUGUAGGUCACCCUAUCAGUUAUCCGGCAGGCCCUGACACAUAAGCUUCUCAGUUAAUAAACCUUGGGACUGUGUGGAUCAAUUUCAGCAUCCAAAGCCAAUGGAAAUAAAUCUUCAGCUAUUUUUAUUUAAAAUUUUAUUUUUUGCACCCUUUUCUCCACAGAGAAAGAUUAUAGAAAGAAUUCAUCACAAAAGUACAGAGAAAAACUCAAAAUACUGGCUCCCUUUAAGCAGCUGAAGAACUGUAUGGAACUAACCUUCAUCUCCUUCUAAGCCAAGACUCUCUAAUCUUUCAAAUCCAGUUCAACCUUAUUAUCAACUCACUUGGCAGAAUUAAUAUACUAACAUGGGCGCUUUGCCAAGGGUUUUUUUACAUUCAGCUUCUGUUAUGCCAAUUCAAUUACAAAUUAUUUCUUUACAAAGCUUAAUCAUAUAUAAUGAAUUAAUAUAAGCAAAAAGACCAAAGAAGAUAUGGUUGACUGCAUUACAGACUAAAGGGGUAAUUAGUCUUAUAAACCCGAGAGAAGAAUAUUAGUCACCUAUAUUUAUGCUGUGAUAGAUUCAAAUCUAGAUGGCACAUAGAAAAUGAAACAAUGAAACUCAUCCCAAUCUACUGCAAGUGAAGAUUGUUUCAUUUUCACACUGAAAUACUGAAAGUAAAUGGUGCUAAAUGGAAAUCUCUUAGUUCUGAUUUGGAUAAUAAAACAUUUAACCACUUCACCUGCUUAGCCUGGAACACGAAACGGGUUGUAACUUCCCCAUUUAACACCAA